CUCUUCUACUGUGUAUUAUGGAUACAGUUCAUCAACUCAUGAAAACAGCCCCCGAGAGAGCUUCGUGUAAAGACACGCCCAGGCCCCCAACCCAAUUCUAACAGAACCAGACUCGCAGAGCAAGAGGCCUUGAAACACAGAAUGAUCCUCUGACAAGUGAUGAAGAAGAAUGGGAAGAUGUGAAAAUCCAAGCAAGAAGAACUUAGGGGAAACAACUCAACAUCUAAGAAGAAAUGAAUAGGGAUCAGUUCCAAGAAGAGAUAAAGGGGAAAUACCCAAGAACUGGGAUGCAUCAUCUUUGGUUUCUUCUGGAUCCUCCCUAAAUUUGGGCUAAGAAAUCUGAGUCUCCAUUUGAGAGUGUCCCCAGAAAUGAUGACAUCCACAUCCAGGAACCUCCUCCUUCCUUCACUUGAACUCUCUUGCUUCUGGGGAGCCAGGACCUAGGAAGUAAAAAUCAAGUUCAUUUGGCGACACAUUCCCUCCGGGCCCAGAUGCUGUCUCUGCUGCUGUAAAGUCCCCUGAAGUCAAGGCCAAGCAAUACAUCUAAGCAUCCCUU